GCGCCUAUAGCUCAGUGGAUUAGAGCAUCUGGCUUCGAACCAGAGGGUCGGGAGUUCGAAUCUCUCUAGGCGCG
rnacentral:tRNA from 1 species